CUGAGGUCACAAUGCCCAGGAGCAAGGAACAUUUUCCUUCCAGCCCAGGAGCCUGUGGCUGGCAGGAACAUCUCGGCAGACAGCAUGGAGACCAGAGGAAGUGGAAGGCCCAAGGCCCCUCCUGAGGCUUCAUCCCAGCAAACACCCUAGAAAGACUCUGGCUGGUGUCAUAAGCUCUGUCUCACCCUUGCCCACAGGAGGGAAAAUGAUAUGGAUUCACAGUAACGCUGCCCAUUUCUUGUGCCUGAGACUGGAACUUGCUGUGUUUCCCCACUCUCUCCCUUUCCCAGCUAGGCCAUAACAUGUUAGUUCUUUGACCUACAGACUUAGGGGUGCCCCCAGUGGCAAAAGUGAUGGGGCUCCCUGCUGGAGUUGCCCUGGGCAUUGAUAUGUGUUCAUUCACACUCAUCUUUCCCCAGAGGGGCCGCACAUGCCUUCCGGUGGUGUCUAAAACAUAGCACUGUGGCUGAAUCCCCAGGCAAGAGAAAAAGUAAAAGCUACUCAGGGUGUGGCCUGGUCCAGCCAGAGGCUGCAGCAGGACUCCAGGAGGUUGGGAAAAACAAGCAUUAUAAAUAUGUCUCCAGUACUGUGUGGGAAGCACUCAUGCUAAGAAACCACUAGCUGUGUGUCUGCAGUUCGAAUUCAGCUGUCCCUGCACCUCCCUCAGCCCUGCUCUCUGGCCCUGAAGGUGGCAGCAUGGGCUCCAGAGGCUCUGUUCACACAGACAGCAAAGCAAAGCAGUAUUUCAUAGUAACACAAACAACAUCCACUUCAGACUAAUAUGUGGAAUUAAAAUUUAAAAACAAAACAAUUUUUAAAAAUACUUUUAUUUCACUUCUCAGGUACAUCCCAGGCUGAUCACAUUUUCUUAGGGAAAUUUAAACCUCAGUUGUAAUGCUAGGGAUGACCACAAGAGAGCCUGACAGACAUCAUGAUUCACAGCUUCCCUACCUAGAAACUGGGACACAUUCCAUGCAGAUAUCACUGAUGCCCAUCCACCAAGCAGAUCCCCCUGGCCUUCCUGACCCAUGCAUGGACACUUGCUGGGUGGCACAAAGCCCCAUCUUCAGGACUGUCCAGGAAUGAGCUGGAGAAAUUUGCCUCAGACAGGAACUCAUCCUUGUUCAAGCAUGCACCCCAGAAGGCAGGGGACUGGCUAAUGGGGGUGGCAUCUCUGUCAGCUCAAACUAGAGACAUAGAAGAGCUGGAAGCUGCCAUCACCCAACUGCAGAGAUAAAGGUGGGGGUGGGAGCUCCAGCCAGGCCACCAGAUGAGGCUGGGACCAGGUGGCCCUGUCCACCAGGGGCCGAGCUGGUGAGGGGCACAGCCUGUGCUAGGGGAG
rnacentral:lncRNA from 1 species